rnacentral:tRNA from 1 species
UCUAUUGUAAUCUAAACAAGAUAUCUUCUUUUCAUGAAGAAAACAGGAAAUACCCCCUCUUUAGCU